rnacentral:rRNA from 1 species
CAGUCGCCACGGUAAUACGAAGGGUGCAAGCGUUACUCGGAAUUACUGGGCGUAAAGCGUGCGUAGGUGGUGGUUUAAGUCCGUUGUGAAAGCCCUGGGCUCAACCUGGGAAUUGCAGUGGAUACUGGGUCACUAGAGUGUGGUAGAGGAUAGUGGAAUUUCCGGUGUAGCAGUGAAAUGCGUAGAGAUCGGAAGGAACAUCUGUGGCGAAGGCGACUAUCUGGGCCAACACUGACACUGAGGCACGAAAGCGUGGGGAGCAAACAGGAUUAGAACCCCCGUAGUCCCUGUCUCUUAUACA